GUUCUUACUGCAGCUGUACUAAGCACGUCCCUUUUGGCACUGACAAAAUGCACCAGAAGGCAGUAUUCUUUUUACCAGAUCCUCUGGGACAUAAAAAAAUGGCUCCACCUCUCUUUAAUCCAAUACUUAUAGUAUACAUAUAUAUACAUAUAUAUAUAUACUAAUUCCUGCUUUUAGCAUCCUGAGAUAGACUCUCCCCUAAAACUUCAGCCUAUGCUCUUGCUUAUUUCCAUUGGAAGAGAAUAAUAAUUUGUGAAGAGUUUGAGCUAAGCCUUUCUCCAUUUCCUUGCAAUUCUUAGUUUUUCUUUUCUUCCUAGAUUAAAUAAGUUACUAAUUAAACCCUCUAUUUAACUUAACCUAAAAAUUUCUCAGCUCUCCACUUCACUUCUUUUAAUAACUCAUCAUAUGGAAUAGUAGAUCACUUCUGGUAAUUCUAAAAUACUGCAGGAGGUGUAAUCUUUAUAUUAGACUGUUCAUUUGGCUAUCAAGGGCAACAUAAUUGACUUUCAUUUCAAUAUCAAGGGUGACAUAAGUAAUUUUCUUAUUGACAAGGAUAAAAAAUGUUCAUCUAUUGUAAGAAUCAGACUGAAGAAAGCAGGCAUUAGUUUGGAUGAUGGAUUCAUCUGAAUAUUGAUAUAGUAUGGAAUAAAAUUAUUAGGCAAAGUACUUUCAUGAAAGCAACAAUGCCACAAGUCAAAGCAGAAUUGGAAGCAUUACUUUCCUGAGAUUGCCCUAGGAGAAAGUUGCAUUGUGUUCCUGGAAUGACAUGAAAUGAAAUUCACCACAUAGAAAACUUACUAUGUUCAGGAUCAUGCAAGGAGCUGGAUGCCUUCUCAUUACUUCUCAGCUCCACUUCAAGAUCUUAGCUAUGCUUUGAGAUUUACCAACAGUUCCAAAACCGUUUUGUGCAGAAGCUUUCCACUCCAAAUGAGGCCUGGAAUAUGUUUAUUUUCCUCUGAGAGUUUAAACAGAAGACUUAAUUUCUUCCUCUUCUAAGUGCAAGAAGACUCCAAAAAAAAGUAGAUGCUUGGGGGAUGUUGGCUUUGGUUGGGUUUUGUGGACAUUCAGCAGUACAGCUGGCAGUGCCAAAGUUGGCAGACACAACUCGCUCCCUUCUUGACAGCUAUCCAGAUGCCUGGCCACAGAUUUGUAACUCCAUCUUCAAAGUUUGCACAUGGCUGGCAUAAAUAGAUAACAGGUGAAAAGCAGUCCCAAACUGAGGCUUUUGUGUAGGACUGAUUAUUGUGUGAGAUUCUAGAAAAAAAUAGAAGCAUGCUUAAUGAGGCAUUUUCAGUUGAAAAGAGGAAAUGAAAUGGCACAAGGUUGUUGGAGGCACAGGAAUAGGAGAGGGAACCAAGAGCUAUCAGCAACUGAGCACAAGCUGUGAAAAAGCAUGGUGCAUGUUCUCAUCCAGCCUGUCCGCAUGUUCCUGAGCACUGCCAGUAAAGCUCAGUUCUGCUUGAGUUCAAAGGCAGCUGAAAGCGCCUGGCAAUUCAUGGCAUCAUACUUCCAGAAAACCCUCCUGAUAUUUCAUAAGGCAAUUAAAUACGUUGCCUUCUGUGGAAGGAAGGAAAAUUAUUCCUAAAUCCUGAAAAGAAUGCUGUUCACUGGUUUAAAUCGGUACACACAAGAAUCAGUUAAUUAUUGAAAUAGAAGGCUACUUUCCACAACCUUCUCCCUUACAUAAUGAAGCAUUUGAGAAGAUCACUGUUUCGUAUGAAAACCCCGUAGUAAAUCAGAACCUCAGUCCUGGUGCUGUGUUAUCCUCAUCCCUCCUGGUCUGAGACAGAAGCUUACGGGCAGCUAACGAUUCAGACAGCAUGUGCUCCCAGACUCAGUGUCUCUAUGUAGUCAAUAAAAGUGGUAAGAUACUUUAGUUAAAAGAACAUUAUGAGUUUGAAAUGCCACCCCUUUCCUUUAUCCUAAGAGGAAAACAAGAUCUGGGUACUAGGAGACAUGAAUUUCUUGUAUUGCUCUCCAAUGUUGAUUUUAUAGCAAACAAUCCAAGCACAGCCCCUGGGAUCAAACCAGUUACUGCUAUGGUGCUUUCAAAGCUUUCCUGUCUGAUUGCCGUGACUGGAGUCAAGCACAGCAAAUGGUGUGUGCAGAACCACUGCUGUUGGCUCCAAGAGGCAAACAAAUAGUAGCUGGAGAGAAUGAAGCACAGAAUUUAGCAGUCAGUAAGAGGGAACACAUAAAAAAGUAGGUAAAGCAAUGGAGAGAUGUGUGCAAAAAAAAAUAUAAAGAAAGAAUGGUAAGGUAAAGGCAAAGAAAGAGAAAUGCACAGAU